rnacentral:tRNA from 1 species
UAAAUCUUAGUUUAUUUAGAACGGUCGAUUGUUACUCGAUAGGAAGGUUUAGGUACCUAGGUUUAG